GGUUGUAGCUCAGUGGUAGAGCACUUGCCUAGCACAUGUGAGGCACUGGGUUCAAUUCUCAGCACCA
rnacentral:tRNA from 1 species